rnacentral:sRNA from 1 species
UUUAAGUAUGGACUUGAAUAUGACAGUCUUUUCACUGAUGUCCAGGGAAUUUCUACCUUACAGUGCCCGGGGAAUGGGAUCUGGGGCUAGCUUUCUUCCUGAGAAAACCAGUCCUGGCUUUUGGGAUAUGGCUUCUCAUAUCUUGAAAGUACUCUGAUAUUCUGAAAGGAUGGUUGGUUGACACUACUGAGAGUCUACAGGGAGUGUGGGAAGUUACUCUUAGCAAACCUCAUAUUUUGGAAAGACAGAACCCAGGAAAGUUUAAUAAUUCCUGUAGGGACAGGAGUGCAGGCUGAGGUUGUUCACGGGAUGCAGGUGCUGUUCAACUUCUAAGUGCGGGCUGAGUUUAAUUCAACCCCCUUGGCCAGCACAGGCCCAGACAGGGCCUGGCUCUUUCUAGUCACCAAGUUGCCCUGACUCCCUGCCUUCUAGCAGAAUAACAAUUCGGGGGCAAUGUAGCGCUUGCCUUAUCUUCUUUGGGCUAGUUGGAGUUUCAGAGCAAAUACAUUCUUCUCUAGCCGGCUUAGCUUAAAGUCUGUUUACUUGUCCCCAGGAUAGGUGAAUAUUCAGAGGGCUCUGGGAAUGAGACCCAACAAACUGGACUUUGGUCCUCUCUUGCCACCAAUCACUCUGAUUCCUCCAGCUCCUACCUAGGGGAAUGUGUCAGCUAUAGAAGCAAUCUUGGCAUGCAGACUGGGGCAUAUCUCUUUAGGAAACUAGGUGCUGGGCUCAAAGUGAGCUGGGUUUAAGGUUUUAGUCCCCACAGUUUGGGGACACAAGCCAUUCACACAGCCUGCAACUGGGUCAGCACCUAGGAGGCUUUCAAAAACUGGGGCUCAGAUUUGUUCUGACCUCCAAGUAAAAGAAAUAAACAUUCUAGAGAUGCCCUGACACUGAGAUGGUGGAAGAGGGGAAGUUUCCUCAGUGAGCUGUAGAACAAAUGCCCUAGAAACUGCCCCCUGACAAGUAUCCCACUCAACUCCAGGCCGCGAUGGUUCAGGCAGUGGGGGGAUUUUGCAGACAGCAUCCUCCUCUUUGCUCCUCUCCCCCACCCCACCCCAACCCCGCCGUGUAAACACGAGGACUUUCUCGAGAGCCCUGGAGAGCCGCUCUAGUGGCUUCGGGGCCUGAAACCCCAGGCUUGGCUUGUUUGAUGUUUAGCAUCCCAAAGCGGCUCCCCACCCCCGCCCCAGCCUGGGAACCCCGAGCUCCGGGGCCGAAGAGAAGGGGAAGCAGUUCUCUCAGCUGGAGGGCGGUGGAUUGGCUGGGCUUAGAGAAGUGGCGAAAACUACAGGACUCCCCGCCCUGAGCAGGGGAGAAAGGGAUCCCGGAAUGAUGCGGUCAUCCAUGAGGAUAUAGCUGGAGUCCUAAAGGCCAAGAGGCAGACGGGGAAAGAAAUGUCACAAUUUGGGGGAAUACACUGGAGAUAGGGGCCAGGUCGGUGGAAAUAGCUUGGGGCCACCGCGAAAACAAGGUAAGCGGUGUCUGGGUCCAGUUAGUGAGCAUCGAGAACGGCGUCCACGACUGCAGGGCUAUCAGGGCCUCGAGGAGACAGCGCUCCGUGCCACUGCUUAGUGCUUGGCCUUUCAUAGGGACGAACCUGCUUAGGAGUCUUCCAAGAGAUUUUUAAAUCCUCCGAGUCUGGACCUGGAAGCUCCAUUGGCGACGUUUGGAUCUGGCUUCGUAGUCUUUGAUUUCGAAAGCCCAGGAAGAUUCGCAGACUUUCAAGGCCGCACACACCGCAUUGCCGGGAGUCUGGGCGGCGGUGAGGACUGAGAAGCUGUCUCAAGACCUGAGUCUCUUCUCAGGCGAUCCCAGAUAAGAGGAGAGAGAGAGAGCUUUUCUGACUUCCAACUCAUUAGGGACCAGAUUUGCUCUCCAGCACAGCAAAAGGGUCUGCCUGUGACCCUCACCGAACUCACUCUUCACUGCUUUAUAGAGACCAUCAGACUCAGGACAAAUAUUCUAGUUUGGAUGCGCAAUUAAUAAUAAGAAGAUACAGGACAGAGGCGGACUGAAUGGCUCCAAUUCUCAGAAUGUGAAAGCGUAAAUCAGAACCUACUAUUUUGUAAAACCAACUUGGAAAACAAAAUUGUCAGAAGCAAAACAACAACAACAACAACAAUAAAAACCAAACCAACAACAAAACCAAGCAAGUCAGGCUGUUUUACCAAUAAAGGGGGCACUGAAUGGAAUCAGAGAUCUGAUAAGUGCCGGGAAGUUGGACUAAGAGGGACAGGAGACUUCGAAACUUCUCUGAAUACUGCUUUGCUGCUGACUUCCAAGGAGAUCUCACCAGAGCUGAGCUGAAGCCAGGACCAUAGUGUUAUUGACAUUACCCCCAGAGACAUGAAGAAACAUCUGCUGCCCCUAGAUAUGAAACCAACACAGACCAAACCAACUGUCAGUACUGCAAGUGGUCCACCCACCAAAGAGAUGGAACUCAACGUGGUAGAAUAGAAGCUGAGACAUGUGGACUUGACAGACUUGAGACUCGGCUAUUCAUCCCAGCUCUGAGAGCCCAUGCAGCUCAUUGAGCCUUCGCGACUCCUGGUUUUACUUUCAGCAAAAUGGAGAUAUUAAGACAGGUUCCCUUGUGGUCCAGGAGACCUCAAACUCUCUCUGUAGAUGAGGAUAACCUUGAAUUCCUGAUCCUCCUGCUCUCAUCUUUCAAAAUAGAUGCCUCCAAGGUGAUUUACACGUUCUUCUUGUCUUGAGGUUUGGGAUUCCCGUUUUGGGUCUGCAGAAUUGAGACAGUCUCUGGGAUCAGUACACGUCAACCUGAACCCGGAAGAGUUCCAAGUAUCUUUCCCCUUCUCUGUCAGGUUCGUGUUACCCUGAACCUGUGAGCUCAGAAGGAAUUUUCUGGUUUUCGGGAGACGGCAGCCAUUCAUCAUAGCUCUCCACCACUGACUGACUGAGAGUCAAUUAUCAUCAAACAUCCAUCUGCCCAUGAUGCUAAUUAUUCCUACUCCAUGAUUGAGGAUUUGGAGUCGGAGACUCACCUGCAAUAUUUGGAAUACCAGUGGAGAUCCAUAUCAACAUGGAAUUUAUACAGCAGCUGGUGCCAGUCACAGCUAAUGAUGAAACUUCAGCUUAAUAAAAAGACCCCCAACUGAGUACAACCAUCUCGAAGAAAGUGUACUUAUCAAACAGCUUUCAAUCAGUUCAAGAGAGACACCUUAAUUGUGAAGAGCAAGAACCGCACAGCAGUUGUCACCAUGCCAACUUCAGAUCAAUGGCACUUCCACUGCUCUUGGUACAUAUAGCCUUGCCUAUGUCCUUAACUGCACCAACAUCCUUCCUGUUGGGAUGAGAUCUUGUCAGCUGCUAGCGUGUGAUGAUGCCUUCGUUCAUUACAUUACUAUACCCCUUAGCAAAAUUUAAACGUGUAAUGAUAAAGGUCACUACCUUUUCCUUUAAUUAAGACCUCUAUUUCUUGUUACCAGAAACAAGUGCCUAUGACAUUUUGUAUUUUCAGAAAUUAUCCUGUUGAAAUAAAGCUACACAAACAAAAUAAAA